GCGCCUGAAGCUCAAGGUUGAGCGCUUAUUUGUCCACGUAAGAGGUAGAGGUUCGAUUCCUCUCAGGUGCU
rnacentral:tRNA from 1 species